AGGAAGAAGUCUCGGCUAACUACGUGCCAGCAGCCGCGGUAAUACGUAGGAGACGAGCGUUGUCCGGAGUUACUGGGCGUAAAGGGUGCGCAGGCGGCCAUGCGCGUCGCGAGUGAAAUCUCCCGGCUCAACUGGGAGGGUGGUCGCGAGACGGCAUGGCUUGAGGCUCGGUGAGGGGCGUGGAAUUCCGGGUGGAGCGGUGAAAUGCGUAGAGAUCCGGAGGAACACCAACGGCGAAGGCAGCGCCCUGGACGAGACCUGACGCUCAGGCACGAAAGCUCGGGGAGCGAACAGGAUUAGAUACCCC
rnacentral:rRNA from 1 species